rnacentral:lncRNA from 1 species
UUUUUUUUUUUUUUUUUUGUUUUUACAAUAAUAAUUUUUUUCCCCUUAAUAUUUAAAUGUAAUAUGUAACAUAAAUAAUUCUAUCACAACGAGAUUAUAUAUACUUACAACAAAUACAUUUUAAAUAUUAUUCAAAUUUCACAAAUUAACACGAAAUCAAAUUGCAAUUUUAAAACGCGAUUUAUAUAAUUCAAUCAAGUUUAAUGCUUUUGUAAAAAAAAAAAACAACAAACGAACAAAUUUAAAUUUUAUAUAAACAUAAUUAUAGUAACGAAUAAACAAUUUUCUGAACUACCGUAUCCCUGUGUAUAAAUUAAGUCAAUGGCCUUCCUUUAAACGUUUGAACUUUUUCUCGCAAUACUGUAACUUCCGUUUAUAUAUACGUAAUUACGUUUGAAAUAAUCUCUACAAUUUCUCAAUUUUAUCAGAGUUUUAUGAAAUUAUUAUAAUAUACUAUGUUUAUGUACCCAAAGAAUCUACAUAACUUAAUUAGGUACAUUGGUUUUUUUUUUUUAAAAAAAAAUGUCCACGAAGAAUACGAUUUAUCGAAUUUAUCACGGCAACAUAUACUGCCAAUAAUAAUGUUAUUAUUAACUAGGUCAGAGUUAAGUUAAUCGUACACACAAUUUCAAAGAUUUAAUACGUUAAAUGAUAACUGUCUUUUAGUAAAGACAUGUUAAUUAGUAUUCAAUAUGUUAAGUUAAAAAUUAAUUUGACUUAUUACAGCUUAGUUGAGAACAUUGUUUUUGUUUCUCCUAAACAUUUUAUUGACGUAAGUAUUGUGAACCUAGAGUUGAUAAUUUUUUUAAAUAAUAAAGACGAUUCGUGUUAUCCUCAAUUGUAUCAAAUUAUACUUAUUUCAAAUUUCAAAUUUUAUUAUUGAAUAAAAAAAAGAAAAAAGAUGGUAAUUUUAAUAUCGUUUGUUGAAAUCGAAAGAAAUUAACAUGGAUUUUAACUUGAUAUAGGUAACUAUAAUUUAAAAUUAGCUCAAUGUUUAUUAACCCAACGUCCAAACUGAAUUAGUUUUUAACGUUUUAACUCGUUAAUGCCCAAACUCGCUUUUGACUACGUUUACUGUACUUUGUUUUUAAUGUUUGGACAUUUUUCGUACCUAUGUUAUUAUAAUAUUUAAUCCAAUUAUUAUUUUUUAAAUGACUUAAAAGUAAUAUUAUGCAUGUAAAGAAUUUUGGAGUUGGUAAUGUUUUAUUAUCAAAAUAUAUAGUAUUUAUUCGUUUAUUUAUCAUACAUAAUAUGUUAUAAGUUUCAAAAAUUUAAUGAACACGGUUUCGACACAUUUAUUAUAAUAUAAUAUUAUAAUCGUUUACUAAGCACAUGCAUAAUAGUUCUGUGAAAAGACAUUUCAAAGUUUCUAACUUAUAAAAACGUACAACAGCUAAAAAAUAAUUAGAAUUGUUUCGAUUUAAUAAAAUAUAGUUAAGGACUUUUUUUUUUUUGUUUUUUUGACAUUUGUUUAUCUUAUUUUAAUAUUUAAAAAUUAUAGGUGUACGCGACGCGGUCUAUUUAUUUCUAUUUUAUCAAAAAAAUGAUGUACACCAAUGAGCAAUCUGACACAUUAAAAAUAAUAUUUAUACAUAAUAUUAGGUUAUGGUAAUCAAUAUACUUAAACACCUUUGCAUAUUUCACGAAGUUAAAUUAAUUUUGAAAUCAAAGUUAUUUGGUUUUUGUUAAUUUUUCGUACAAUUGAUGCAAGUAUAUUAUGAGUUGAAAAACAAUUUAUACCACAAUAACUCCAAUGGACUUCUCUUAUAAAUACAUGUAUUGUAUCGCUUUUUUUUUUUAAAUUCUUGCUGCAUAUUAAGAGGAUGUUAGAACAUAAGUUGUUUAUUUUUUUUGACCCACGUAGAACAUAAUUUGUUAAAUCGACUGAACUGAACGAGUAUUAUUAGCUUAACUAUUAGAGUGUAUAUUGAAAUAGACCUGUCAUGAUAAUUGUACCAAAACGAAAAUUAAAAACAACAUCCAAGUUUGUACAUAGACUUUUAUUACGAUAUUUCAAUCUUAUAAUACAAGUUAUGAGUGU